GAUUUAGGGGUUCGAUUUCUUUCGGUUGUUACUGUCUAUUUGUUCCUUAGGGAUUCGAUUUCUCUAGGUUGUAUCUGUCUUAGAGUUGUCUCUGUUUCUUAGUUUGUCUCUGUCUCUCUUAUUUUUUUUUUCUGUCUUUCUUAUUUCGAUUGUAUAAGAUUCUAACUAAUGGUUCUUUUUCUUUGGUUGUGAUCAAAUGAACUCAACAAUAGUACCUGGGACAACUGCUGCGCCUCUCCUAUGCCUCCUGGUGCUACUGGACCGGCUUUAAUUUGAACCAUGCUGCUUCCUCUUCUCGUUCCAAUAGCUACUCG
rnacentral:lncRNA from 1 species